rnacentral:rRNA from 1 species
UACGGGGGGAGCAAGCGUUGUUCGGAUUUACUGGGCGUAAAGGGCGCGUAGGCGGUCAGCACAAGUCAGUUGUGAAAUCUCCGGGCUUAACUCGGAAAGGUCAACUGAUACUGUGCGACUAGAGUGCGGAAGGGGCAACUGGAAUUCUCGGUGUAGCGGUGAAAUUCGUAGAUAUCGAGAGGAACACCGGUGGCGAAGGCGGCGAUCUGGACGAUGACUGACGCUGAGACGCGAAAGCGUGGGGAGCAAACAGG